GCAUAUCAAUAAGCGGAGGAAAAGAAACUAACAAGGAUUCCCCUAGUAACUGCGAGUGAAGCGGGAAAAGCUCAAAUUUAAAAUCUGGCGGUCUUUGGCCGUCCGAGUUGUAAUCUAGAGAAGUGCUAUCCGCGCUGGACCGUGUACAAGUCUCCUGGAAUGGAGCGUCAUAGAGGGUGAGAAUCCCGUCUUUGACACGGACUACCAGGGCUUUGUGAUGUGCUCUCAAAGAGUCGAGUUGUUUGGGAAUGCAGCUCAAAAUGGGUGGUAAAUUCCAUCUAAAGCUAAAUAUUGGCGAGAGACCGAUAGCGAACAAGUACCGUGAGGGAAAGAUGAAAAGAACUUUGGAAAGAGAGUUAAACAGUACGUGAAAUUGCUGAAAGGGAAACGCUUGAAGUCAGUCGCGUUGGCCAGGGAUCAACCUUGCUUUUGCUGGGUGUACUUUCUGGUUGACGGGUCAGCAUCAAUUUUGAUCGUUGGAUAAAGUCUGUGGGAAUGUGGCUUCUUCGGAAGUGUUAUAGCCCAUGGUCGCAUACAACGGUUGGGAUUGAGGAACUCAGCACGCCGCAAGGCCGGGUACUUGUACCACGUUCGUGCUUAGGAUGCUGGCAUAAUGGCUUUAAUCGACCCGUCUUGAAACACGGACCAAGGAGUCUAACAUGCCUGCGAGUGUUUGGGUGGAAAACCCGAGCGCGUAAUGAAAGUGAAAGUUGAGAUCCCUGUCGUGGGGAGCAUCGACGCCCGGACCAGACCUUUUGUGACGGAUCCGCGGUAGAGCAUGUAUGUUGGGACCCGAAAGAUGGUGAACUAUGCCUGAAUAGGGUGAAGCCAGAGGAAACUCUGGUGGAGGCUCGUAGCGAUUCUGACGUGCAAAUCGAUCGUCAAAUUUGGGUAUAGGGGCGAAAGACUAAUCGAACCAUCUAGUAGCUGGUUCCUGCCGA
rnacentral:rRNA from 1 species